rnacentral:lncRNA from 1 species
CAGCAAGAAGGCAGCAUCUAUAAGCUAGGAAGGAGGCCCUCACCAGACUUGGAAUCUGCUGGCUUCCUGAUCUUGGCCUUUCUAGCCUCCAGAACUGAUGGGUGAAAGCUGUGGAAGAAUACAGACUGACCAGGAACCCCACCCUAAGGAAGAGGUCAGCUAGUGCAUGUCCACGUGCACACACACACAUGCACACAUGUGCACAGACAUGCAGUCACACACACACAUGCACACACAUUCAAGAAAAUCUCUGGAAUCCAAACACAGCCUCUGACCAUCAGUCAUAGAAAUGAACCUCAGAGAUACCAGG